UGGGAUUGGUGUGCAAGACAGGUUUAAUUUCUCCUGCAAUGGAAGCUCUGUGGUCCUGGCCCUACAUAGACUUCAUACGUUGACAGACAACCUGUUAUCUCCGCCAGGGCAGCUCUGCAUAUGGCAGUUCCCUCUGCCCCAGAGCUGAUUCCUCUACUGUCUGAGCAGGCUGCAGGAUGUAGAAGGUCACUGAGGACUGGGACAACAGUCAUAUCAAUACCUGGCAUCCUUGCCCAGUGUCCUUGGGA
rnacentral:lncRNA from 1 species